rnacentral:rRNA from 1 species
UACAGAGGGUGCGAGCGUUAAUCGGAAUUACUGGGCGUAAAGCGUGCGUAGACGGUUAUUUAAGUCGGGUGUGAAAGCCCCGGGCUCAACCUGGGAAUUGCAUUCGAGACUGAAUAGCUAGGGUACGGUAGAGGGAAGUGGAAUUUCCGGUGUAGCGGUGAAAUGCGUAGAUAUCGGAAGGAACAUCAGUGGCGAAGGCGGUUCUCUGGGCCUGUACUGACGCUGAGGAGCGAAAGCGUGGGGAGCGAACAGG